rnacentral:lncRNA from 1 species
GUCAUUUCACCUCACCCAAAUUUCGUUUAUAACACCAGAUUUAGCUCCUAAUUCAUCAAAAUAUAAUCCUUUUCUCAAAUUUUGUCUCAAAACACCCCUUAGGGUUUCAAAAUAAAAAUCUCAAUAACUCAAGAUUCAACCAUGGGUUUUCAAAACAAAUAGAAGAUUUGAAAUCCCCGCAACGUAGGCUUCAAGAAGCACCUAUCACAUUCGCAUAUAGAGGUACGUGGGUUAUCUAAAAAAUCUCAUGGGCUUAAAAAUUCAUAUUUUAAAAAUGGGGGUUUUGAAAUUAUGAAUAUAAACAUGUUUCAAGCAUCUUUAUGGUAUUGAUUUGGUCUUUACGCCUAUUUCCGAAGUGAUUUGAUAUAUUAUAUAUGCAUAUUCUUGUGAUUCAAAAGAUGUUAACUUGAGAGCAUGCAUUAUAUGAAACCCCUCUCUUGAUAUGAAAUUGUUUGAAAUUUUCAUAUGAUGUGAAUUGUUUGAAAUCAUCUUGACAAGCAUGACAUGAACUAUUUUGAAAGUGGAUAUGAUUUUUGACUUGCAAGGAGAGGGUUAUUAUGUUGAAAUAUGAUGAAUAUAAUAGUUGCAUGAAAGAAUAAUGUGAUAUUGAUGACUUGCAAGUCGGGUAUGAUGAUACCCUACAGAAUAUGAUAUGUGAUUGAAUUAGAUGAAAUUUGAAUGCAUUGAUUUUACAUGAGAUAGGUGGAUGCCCGAAGAAGGCGUUUGAGUGUAAGGGCUCAUCGUUGGAAACCGUGUUUGCCGACAUGGAAACUUGGUACCAUGCUUUGUGAUCUUGCGUACCUAACUUUAUGUCAUUACCAAAAUGAGACUAUGGUUAGGAGCCCUGGUUUGUGAUCUUGUGCACUACCAUUGGGUCGUGUGAUCUUGUGUGUCUUCCCCUCACUUAUACUCUAAUCUCGGCAGUAACCGAUAUUUGACAGUUGGUGUAAAUGUGAUAUGUAGGGUAUUCCACCUAGCUCUGCUGCAUUGCGUUGUUGUUGUAAACAAUUACAUUACGCCCAUGUGUUUUCAAAUGAUUUUAUAUGAAACUACUUUAUAAUGACUUUCAACAAUAUUUUGUAAAAAUAUUAUGUUUUGUUUUGAUAUCUCUAUGUACCAGUACUUUUGUAUUGACCCCCUUCCCUCCCAGGUUUUAGAGGCACAGUCUAGGGGUCUAGAAAAUCAGUAGAUUUCCUCAGAUAGAUUCGCAGAGUCACUUGGUGAACCUUCUAUAUUUUUGAAGGCCUGAUAUCUGGCAGUUUCAUUUAUCAUUUAUUAGUUUUGGGUCUACUGUGGGCCUUGUCCCAGUUUUCAGAUAGAUAUUUAUUUUAGUCAUGUAGUAGAGAUUUCGCAGACGUAAUAGAGAUGUUGAUUGAGAUUGUGGGACAUUAUUCCCCAUUAUUGUUUUCAUAUAAUUCUUGACCAUGUUUCCGUUAUAUAGUGUAUCUUCCGCAUUUUUUUUCAUAUAAGUCAUGUGCAUGAUUACCAGAUAGAUAAGGGGUGUUUCGACCUUGAUGGUUCGGAAUACUCGUCACGGCCAGGUCCUCGAUUCGGGUCGUGACACCACUAAACCUAUUAAACUCAAGAGCAAGUACCUCGAACUCAAUGAGGUUGCUUAUCUCUUUGGGUAUUUCACCUGGAAACACAUAUAGUGGAUUACUGGUGAGUUUAAAUAGUUGGUUCCAUCUAUUUUUUGCUAAGAUAUAAGAAUUGCUUCUUGUUUAUGUUGUCAAUCUCCCAUGAUAUAAUCCACUAAGAUAUUAACUUUUAUAUUGUUGGUCAUACGAAAGUAUUAAAAGAAAAAAGAAAAAAAAAAUAUGUAUAGAAGAUAAAUAUAUCUGAACAGAGCCAUUAAUCUGGCUUCGCUCUCCAUGCCUAAUACCCCCAAACUUAGAUACCUCAAUUAAUUCAAUAACUGAAAUUACCCCUGCAGUUACUGUGUAGUCAAAUAAAAUACCGAAGCAAUUAGAUACAAGCAUUCAUAAGAUAAAACAUACCUGUGAAAUGGUCAGUUCCGAGAAACAAUUGCUGCAAGUUACUAAAUCUUCCAAUUUCACUAUGUAUUGGUCCAUCAAACUCAUUUUCCGAUAAACCUAGUAGUUGAAGUUGUGAGCAAUUUGACAAGCUCGUCGGCAUAUGACCAUGACGCUUGUUAUCGGAUAGAUAAAGCCCUUUGAGUAUUGGGAGACCAUUGCAUAAACCAUUGGGCAGAUAUCCGAUAAGCUAUUGCCUGUAAAUGCAAUGACUUCGAUUCUUGAGAUAUUGAAAAUUGUGAAUGGUAUAGACCCCGUAAGUUGAUUAGCUUGUAUGCCCAACAACUUCAUGUUGUGAAGAUUGCCGAUCCCUUCUGGAAUAUUCCCUUGAAGUGAAUUAAAAGAUAUAUCUAAAGUCUCCAACCUCGAGACAUUUGAGAGUGAUAGAGGAAUAGAAGCUAUGAGCUUGUUACCUCGCAACCUUAAUUCUCCAAGGUUUAUAAGACUUCCAAUCACUUUUUGUAUUUGUCCCUCAAUUGAAUUUAAAUUCAGAUUCAAAAUCUCAAGUGUGGACACAUUAGAAAAUGUAGAAGGGAUGGAACCAGUGAAACUAUUAUUUCUAAUAUUAAUAACUUGAAGUUGGUGUAAAAACCCAAAACAACAAGGAAUCGCCCCUCUGAAGUUGUUGAAACUUAAAUCAAGAAACUUAAGCCGACGUAAGCGUGCCAUUUCAUGAGGCAAAUUUCCAUGGAAAUUGUUGCUUCCCAAGUCAAGAGAAACAAGAAAUGAGAGGUUUCCAAAUUCACAAGGAAUCUUGCCAGUAAGAGCCAUGUUAGAAAGAUUCAAGGAUUUCACUCAUUGGUGACGAGAACAACAAGUGACUCCAACCCAAUGACAAACAAAAACAGCGGGAGACCAGUUUUCAUCCAAGAAGUUGGAGGGGUUGGAAAUGAUUUGAGAUUUUAAGGACAAAAGAGCUAAUUGAUCAGUGGUAAUGUUGGUUUGAGUCAUGGCUGAACUAGCCAUAAGCAACAAGAGUGUUGAAGAGAAAAAAUGUGAAGAUUUUCUCCAUUAUUGCAUAAAUUUGUAGGUAGGCUCCAUAACAUGUGAUUUUGAGACUUUAAAUAGCAAUGAGGUCUCCCUUUUGGUCUUCAUGAUUUUAAAAAAAAUACUUUUCCUCAUUCAUUCUCUUAUAUUUAGUGGCUGAAUCAAAAUUUUCAACAAAAAAAUUCAAAAUAUAAAGAAGUAAAUUCAUCAAAAAAUCAAAGAGUAUCAUUAUGUAAUAUAUACAUAAAAAAUAUUUUUACAUACCUACACAAUGUAUUUUUUAGACUAACAUGUGGCUCCGCCAUUGGUCAUAUCAAUUUUAAUUUCACCAAGUUUUGCACGUUUCAAUCAGCCCAAGACUUGUGCAAGUCAUCAACCAAGUCUUGCUUUAUCUUUUCUGGACUAGACUUUAUGUUCCUCUAAUAGAUUAGUAAAAUUAACUUAUACUAUACGCUCGAGAAAUAUUUUUACAAGAUUUGCAUAGUUUACAUCUUUAUAAUCCUUUUAUCUCUAGCUAAGAAAGAAUAUGUUGUUAAUUUAGAUCAUUUUUGUAUACAAUGGUAAUAAAAGGAGCUUUUAAUUAUAGUUUAUAAUGUUAGAAUUUUUUUCCUGAUUUUCUUACCAAGUUUAAGUUUUUCUUUUCUUGAAAAAAAAAAAUAAUACCAUAAUUACUUUUACUUUUCCUAAAAAGAAAAUAUAAAUCUUUUUCAUAUUUGGCAAACGUCUUUCUUGGAGGAAAGGUUUUGAAUUUGAACAUGUGGUAGUUCAUUACUAUAACACAAUAACCUCCACAAGGUAGUUCAUUAAAUAAUUUUGUUUAGAGGGAUAUUUUCUCCUAAUAGGUUUUAAAUUUUUCAUUAUUAUUUUAAUAUGUAGGUCAUUUGACCAAAUCAUAUUAAUAAUAUAUUUUUAGUAUUUGUUUUUAAUUUAGUAUCAUCUUAUUUAUCAUUUCUAUAGUUUGCAACUAUUAGCUUCCGCAUGAUUCCCUCUCGAUUUCGAACCCAACAUAUAAUUUGUUUGAAAUUUUGAUUUGUUUUAUAAUAAAUUUGUAUGAACUUUUUUUUUAUAAAAGAAUUCACAACAUUAAGAGCCCAUUUGAAUAGGAUUAAAAUCAGGUCAAAUUAAUUUUUAAACUUUUAUUUUUAGUUUUUUUUUAAAAAAUAUUUGAUAAAAUUAAAAAGUGCUAAAAAAAUGAAAAAACUAUUUUUUUUUUAAAUAAAAAUAAAAAAGUGGGAAGCUGUGUACCCUCACCUUUUUAUUUUUUGGAUUAAAAUUCUUGGAGGUUUUGAUAAAAAUAUUUAUCUUUUUAUCCCUUAUAUUUUCCUUUAAUUCCAAUGAUACCAUGAACUUGUAGCCCAUGAAUAUGUGAUUUUUCUUUCUUUUUUUCCCUGGUUCUUUUUGUCUCUUUCCUUCAAUUUUCUCUUCAUCUUUCUCCUUUGUUUUGAGAAAAUUCAUCAUUACAUCGGAGGUUUGUUCAUGAACUUUUCUUAAGUGUCGUAUUUUCUAGACAUGUUCUAUCUCUUUUAUUUUAAAUAUUUUUUAGUUAGUUUAAAAUGAAGGAUUCUCUUGUUAUCUCGACAUUGUAUUUUUCUCCACAAAUUUUUCAAAUGGAAUAAGUCAAAAGAAACAAGAAAUGUGAGGCUUCCAAAUUCACUGGAAAUCUUGCAAGAGUUAUGUUGGAAAGAUUUAAGGAUCUCACUCUCUGGUGAUGAGAAUCACAAGUAACUCCUACCCAAUGGUAAACAAAAGUACCAGAAGACCAACUCUUUUUUUAUAAAUAUAAAUAUACAUGUCAAGCAAGUCUAGAAGAUAUAUAUAUAUAUAUAUAUAAAGACUUGUACAAAUCAACCAAGUCAUGUUUUAUUUCACAUUGGGCUUAAAUUCUUUGUAAAUAGUCUCGCUUUCGCAUUCUCUAGAAUACUUACUACUCUCUUAGUCCUAUAAUAAGUUUGACCUUAAUAAACAAAAACUAUUAUUACCUAAGGAAUUCUAGAAAAAAAAUCUUAUGUUUUUCCAAUUAUACUCUUGUACUCCAUCUUCUUGACAGUGUCCAAUUUUCAAGAGAAAUUUAUUAAAUUGGGGUAAUUUAGUAAAUUAAAUAUCUUUUUUGUCUUGAUUUCUUGAAGGGAGUGAUUUUUGCUAUGAUAACAUUUUUUCUUUUUGGGGCGGCUGUUACCACUAUUAAACAAUAAAUCAAUAAUUAUUGUUUAGUUGGCUUGGAAAAAAAAACAGUUAGACGGUUUCCUAUUGGAUGGUUUUAAAAAUAUUUCUCCAUAUUACCAACUUUCAGCAAGCAAAGAAGAAAAUUUGCUUUCACGUUCUACAAUUGGUGUUGAAUUUGGUACAAGAACUAUUCAUGUUGAUGACAAAAUUGUCAAAGUUCAAAUUUGGGAUACUGCUGGUCAAGAAAUGUGCCAUUUCCUUUUCCUUUAUUCUAUUAUUAAAUCGUGAUGGAUCUAGAAUUUUAAGUUGAUAUGUAAUUGUGAUUAAUGCGCGCACACACAUAUAUAAUGUUUGACCAUAUUUUGGUGUUCGCAGGUAGGUAUUUAAACUUGUAUACAAUUGAACAAGUAGAAAUACACAUCAUAUGUGACAACUACGUCGCAUCUACAUGGCAAUCUCAUACGAAUUACCACAUAGAUGACACAUAGGGCGUGUGUGUUUACUUGUUCAAUCUAACACAAAUUUAAGUGUCUAUUUGUGCACAUCCAAAGUUGGAGGACAUAGAUGCGAGCUGAAGUCAAGUUAAAGGGCAUACUUACGUAUGAUGCCAAAUUUGUAUGUUGAAAGAAUUCGAUGGUGAAAUAUAUGCUACGAAAGAAGUGGUUAUGUUGACCUUAUGCUACGAUUCUUCGUUCUCUUAAUAAAUUUCUAGUUAGAUGAUCACUGUGUCCACUAAUUUUACAAUAUCCGCGCCUCUCCCUGAAUUAUAUCUGAUCGUUUUUCAUGUCUCAUAAAAAGGUAUCGAUCCAUCACUAGUGGAAAUUAUCGCGGAACAGUGGGUGCCUUACUGGUUUACGACAUAACACGCCAUGUUACAUUUGAGAAUGUAGCAAGAUGGCUCAAAGAAUUGAGAGACCACACAGACCAAAACAUCGUUUUAAUGCUCGUGGGGAAUAAGGCGGAUCUUCGCCACCUCAGAGCUUUCCCCACGGGCGAAUCAAGUGGUUUUGCAGAAAGAGAGAACACUUUCUUCAUGGAAACAUCUGCACUUGAGGCACUCAAUGUAGAAAACUCCUUCACAGAAGUACUCACUCAGAUUUAUCAAGUGGUUAGUCGUAAAGCUCUUGAUAUAGGAGAUGAUCCUGCAUCUAUACCAAGAGGACAGACAAUUAACAUCGGAAAAGAUGAUGUAUCUGCUGAUAAGAAAGGUGGAUGUUGUUCAGAAUGAGUAUGAUCCCUUUUUCCGUAUACACAAAGGUGGACUCUCCCUAGAUCUGCCUCUGGAUGAAAGCAUAUAAUACUCAAAACUAAUCUCAUUUUCAACAAAUGUAAGUUGGACAAAAGAACUAAUAGCACAGUAUAUUGUUGAGGAAACUAAAGGGGGAUGGAAUUUGUAAAAGGGGAAUUUCAGCUAAGCAAAACUUCUUGUUUCCAUAAGAUACUUGCAAUAGACUGAAUGUCUAUGUUGCUCGGACUCUUCAAAAAUGUAGAUGUGUGCGUGUUUGAAUCUUCUAAAGUAGUGUAUUUUUUAAGUAUUCUGUCAUAAGGCUGCAACAGUCAGAUUUAUUGCAACCAGCUAGAACUGUUGAAAACAGAAUCAUGCCCAAAUCAAGUGCUAAAAGAUAAAAGCGAACCACUAUAAAAAUUUGCAACAUUGUUCAACAUGCAAGAAGUUGAACAUUGAUCUUCUGUAGCAUUCCUAUAACAUCGCUCAUGUUAGUCCUUCUUGCCGGAUUUUCAGCACAACAAUCCAAUGCUACAAUCAUGAUUGAUGCCACAACAUCUAGUUUCAUUUGUAAGCGACUACCCAUUUGGGUUACCAAGUUGGCAUCUACGACGUCCAUUACAGCAUCUGGAAGUGAAAAACUCACCCAUUGCUUCAAGCUAAGAUCUCCCUCAAACUCAUUGGGCUUUCUCCUAGUAAACGUUUCCAGCAACAUGACCCCAUAACUAUAGACGUCGCACUUUGCUGACACUAGUCCAUUCAGUCCAUACUCUACAGUCAAACAAUUCAUUUAAAGAUACAAUAAACUUUCUUGGUAGGAAAAAAGGAAAGGAGUAAUCAGCAAAACUAAGAGAUGUACCUGGAGCAAUAUAACCUAAUGUUGCUAAGGUUUUAGUGUAUAAAUCACCCUGAUCUUCACCAAGCAGUUUUGAAAUGCCAAAGUUGCUUAGGUGGGCAACCAUAUCUUCAUCCAGCAAGACGUUACUAGGCUUCACGUCACAGUGAAUCACAGGCAACGAGCACCCAUGGUGAAGAUAUUCCAAAGCACAUGCCACAUCUAUCAUUAUGCUUAGUCUCUGCUUGAUGUCGAGGAAGUAGUUGUGUGAAUACAAAUACUUCUCAAGAUUCCCAUUAGGCAUAUAAUCAAGAACUAAAGCCUUGAAAUCAUGAUUGGAACAACUAGUAAUGACUUUUACGAUAUUCCUAUGGCCAAGGCUACGCAAAAUUUCACGUUCCGUAUCAAAACUCUUGAAUGCCGCAUCCAGUUUCAGGUUGAACACUUUAACUGCAAUGACAGUUCCACUUCUGAGAACGCCUUUGUAAACAGAGCUAAAACCUCCAGAACCAAUCAGAUUACUCUCACUAAGCGCAUUAGUUGCUCGGAGAAGUUCAUAGUAUGAAAUCCUUUCACUUGCUUCGGUAGACAAUGAAUUAGCUUGUUGAGGAGCACUUUUACCUCUUCUAUACCUUAUCCAUAGGAAAACAAAGGUCAUAGGAACAAAUACAACUGCAGUUGCGAGCAAAAGAAUAAGUACUAGCAAUUUUUUUCUAUUUGAUCUGAGCUUUGAUGAAGUGGGGCAUGGUGGGACACUAAAUCUUGAAGAACCACACAAUGCUUCAUUAUAGAUGAAAAACUGACUCGAGAGGUUCUUGAAAGGACCCCUCGAGGGUAUUUCACCGUACAAUUGGUUGUGUGAAACAUUGAAAUACUUGAGGUAUUGAGGUUUCUCCAAAGACAUGGGAAUGAUUCCCGAUAAAUUAUUGUGAGAAAGGUCUAGGAAUUCCAAACCUACCAUGUUGAUCAUUGAGUCAGGUAUAGCUCCUUGCAACUUGUUGUGUCUCAAAGAAAGGUACGCUAAAUUUUGCAAGCCUCCAAUUUCUCUAGGAAUUUCAUUUGAGAAAUGAUUUAUCGACAGAUCCAUCUUUGUUAUGGCCUUUAGAUUUCCAAUUUCUGGAGGUAAUGAGCCUACCAUGUUGUUUGACGAUAAGUCAAGAACCACUAGGUCAUGAAGGUUCCCUAAGCUUGGUGGUAUAUUAGAACUCAAUUUGUUGGAACCGAGAUGCAUCUCCCUAAGGGAAGUAAUAUUCCCUAAACAAUAAGGAAGAGAUCCUGAUAAUUGAUUUCGACCCGAGUAAAUAUCACCCAAAUGCUGCAAUUUACAUAUAUGAUCUCCAAUAAAUCCUGUCAAUUUGUUGCUAUUCAAGUUGAACCGCUGAAGGUCUCUCAAGUUUCCAAUUGAUGUUGGAAUCGAUCCGACCAAGUUAUUCCCAGAAAGAUCAAGGUCUAAUAAGAUGCUUAAGUUCCCAACUUCAUUUGGAAUUCGCCCUUUGAUUUUGCCAUUGUUGGCAUAAAAAUUUCUAAGGGAUGUGGAAAGGUUCCCUGUGGAGGCCGGAAGCAUAUCAUUUAGAGGGUUGGAAGAUAUAUCAAGAAAUGUUAAAUUUUUACAAUUGGUUAAGGAAGUCAGGAAGCUUAAUGAUGAGUCGCUAGUCAAAUUGUUUCCCCCUAAAUUUAGUAACUGUAGAUGAGUCAAAUAUCCAAGAGAAUUGGGAAUCAAGCCAGUGAGUUGGUUGAUAGAAAGCUCUAGAUGAGUAAGUUUUGAACAAUUGGAAAUGGAAUAAGGAAUAGUCCCAACAAGAUUGGUUAAGUUGUUCAUAUAAAGCUCUUCAAUGUUGGGUAAGAUAGAACACAUGUUUGGGGGGAGGUUUCCUGAUAGAUUGUUGUCUGAAAGAGAAAUCAGUUUCAGCCCUGAUAUGUUGAAGAUCUCCAUUGGGAUUGAACCACUAAAUCUAUUAUUGCUAAGACUAAGUAGCUCCAACUCAAUGAGAUUGCUUAUCUCUUUGGGUAUUUCACCUGGAAACAUAUAUAGUGGAUUACUAGUGAGUUCAAAAAGUUGGUUCAAUCUAUUUUUGCUAAGAUAUAAGAAUUGCAUCUUGUUUAAGUUGUCAAUCUCCCGUGGUGAGAAUCCACUAAGAUAAAAACAUACCUGUGAAAUGGUUAUAUCCGAGAUACAAUCGUUGCAAGCUACUCAAUCUUCCAAUUUCACCAUGUAUUGGUCCAUCAAACUCAUUUUUUGAUAAAGACAAUACUUGAAGUUGUGAACAAUUUGACAAGCUUGUAGGCAUACGACCGUGAAGCUUGUUAUAAGACAGAUAAAGCCCUUUGAGUAUUGGGAGACCAUAGCAUAAACCAUUGGGAAGACUUCCUGAUAAGCUAUUGCCAGUAAAUGAAACGAUUUCGAUCCUAGAAAAAUUGAAAAUUGUGAAUGGUAUAGAACCCGUAAGUUGAUUAUAUUGUAUGGACAACCAGUUCAUGUUGUGAAGAUUGCCAAUUCCUUCUGGGAUGUUUCCUUGAAGUGAAUUAAAAGAUAAAUCUAAAGUCUCCAACCAUGAGGCAUUCGAGAGUGACAGAGGAAUAAAGCCUAAGAGAUUAUUACCCCUCAAGUUUAAUUCUCUAAGGUUUCCAAUCAUUUUUGGUAUCUGACCCUCUAUGGAAUUGAAAUUCAGAUUCAAAGUACCUAGUGUGGAUAUAUUAGAAAAUGAAGAAGGGAUGGACCCAGUGAAACUAUUAUUCCUAAGAUUUAGAACUUGAAGUUGGUGUAAAAAUCCAAACCAUGAAGGAACCUCCCCGCCAAAGUUGUAGACACUUAGAUCAAGAAACUUAAGCCGGCGCAACUGUGCCAUUUCUUGAGGCAAAUUUCCAUGGAAAUUGUUGCUUCCCAAGUCAAGAGAAACAAGAAAUGUAAGGUUCCCUAUUUCACGGGGUAUUACACCCAUAAGAUUCAUGUUGGAAAGAUUCAAGAAUCUCACUCUUUGGUGACGAGAGCCACAAGUGACUCCAUCCCAAUGGCAAACCGACGUAGCUGGAGACCAACUUUCAUCAAAGAGGUGAAGGGGUCUGACAGGAUUUGAGAUUUCAGGGAAAGAAGAGCUAAUUGAUCAGUGGAGAUAUUAAAUUGGGUCAUGGCUGAGCUACUUAUAACAAAGUACUGAAGCAACAAGAGAAAACAGGUGAAAGGAACAAGUUUCUCCAUAAUUGCAUAUAUUGGUAAGAAUGUGGAUAUGGAUUGUAAUGAUGUGGUUUUGAGACUUUAAAUAGGAAAGAGGCCUCUUUCUCUUUCUGAUUUUAAAAUCUACAAAAAUCUCUUUUAUGAGAAUUUUCCAUACAUACAUAUUUUAAGGAAAGAAGGAACAGCUUUCCUUUAUUCAUUAUUUUAGUCAUUUGAAGACUAAUAAUACAACUAAAGAAACAAAAAAAAAAGUAACUUUAAUUUGUUUAAGUAGCAGAUCAAGAAAGAAGACUCAAAAAGGAGUCUUCCACGAAGUUUGUCACCUCUACUGCAAAAGCAAUAUAAUAUCAAAAGUUUAUUUAACUAACUGCCCAUUGUCAGAUAAUAUCAAAAGCUUAUUUAACUAACUGCCCAUUGUCAGAUGAUAAGCAUACUGUUUCUUAUCAAAAUUAAGUUUACUUUUCUUAUAAGAAAAAUAAAAGUAAUACCAUAAUAACUUUUAAUUUUCCUGAAAGGAAAAGAUAAAACUUUUUCAUAUUUGGUAAACCUCUUUGUAAUAUGAAAGGUUUUGGACCUCUAUAAAUAGAAACCCUUCUUAUACCUUAACAACACAGUAACAUCCAUAAUGUAGUCUUUAAAGAAUUCAGUUUAUUGGGAGAUUUCUCCCAAUAAAUUGAAUAUUUUUUUAUAUUAGAUUUUUAAUAUGUAGGUCUCUUGACCAAAACAUAUCAAUAAUAUUAUGUUUUUAAUUUAGUUUUCUUUUGCGUUGAUUUAUCAUCUCAUGGAUUGCAAACUUUAAGCUUACGCAUGACGCCUUCUUGAUUUCGAUCCCAACAAGUGCUAUCAAAGUUUAUGGUUCAAUGAUCCGGUGGUUCAGAUUGAGGACAUAUUAAGAUCAAAGUUGCAAUCAGUUUGAUGAUGAUGAAGAUCUUUGUCUAGCUACAUGUGGAGAAGUAGUUUAAAACAUAUUUUCAACAUUUCUGCUGCUGCAUCUUUAAAAAUAAAAAUAAGAUAUUUUUUAAAUAAUUUUUAAACUUUAUUUUUAACUAUGGCAAGCAACAAUUAUGAAGAUUAUAUCAAGAACGAAGUUUAUGCCUGUGAUGUGAAGAAGACAGAUCAAGUGAAGAAAAUAAUGUCAAAAAGAGGAAAUUUGUUAGGGGUUUUUGCUCUGAUUUUCUUACCAAAAUUAUGUUUUAAGAAAAAUAAAAGUAAUACCAUAAUUAAUUUUAUUUUUCCUAAAAGGAAAAUAUAAAAAUUUUCCUUCGCAAACCUCUUUCUAUGAGGAAAGGUUUUGGAACUCUAUAAAUAGAAGGACCCCCUUCUUAUACCAUAAUAUAGAAGCAUCCACAAUGUAGUCUUUAAAGAACCUUUGUUUAGGGGGAGAUUUCUCCCAAUAAAUUUAAUGUUUUUCGAUAUUAGAUUUUCAAUAUGUAGGUUUCUUGACCAAAACAUAUUAAUAAUAUUAUGUUUUUAGUUUAGUUUUCUUUGUUGUCUGAUUUAUCAUCUCAUGGUUUGCAAACUUUAAGUUUUCGCAUGACGCCGUCUCAAUUUUGAGUCCAACACAUAGUGAGUCAACAUAAUGGGCAAUGAAGAAUGUCUGCAAUCUCAAAAACACACACAUGAACACUGUUAAAGAACAUAAAAUAAUAAACCAUUAAAUCCAUAUUAAAAAUAGCAUUUCCCAUUUAUUAACCUUUUCUUUUUUUCUUUUGGUGAAAUAUGCACGUGGCAAUAGGAAAUGAAAAAUUGACAAAUAUUUAUGCAGACACUCAAAAUAAAAUAUAAUAAUAAUGUCACAUUAUAUGUGGCCCCCCCAAUUACAUCAGUCAAGUCAAACUCUCCCUCACUUGACAGUGGUUUUGUUUGCCUCCCCUCUCACUGCUCUUCCCCUAUGCUUUCUCUCAUCCUUAUUACUUCUGAAAGCAGCACCAAAGAGGCAAAAAAGUAGGAAGGGGGCGACAAGGGUACAGAAUGUGAAUGGAGGAGUUGCAAAGGCGGCAGCAAGGGUGAUGAAAGGGAGUGUAGGAGUUGUGAAAGCGGAGGAGAAAGUGAAGGGGGUUGCGGAGGAGAUGCAAUACCGGGGAGAUGCAAUACUGGGGAUUACGGAAGAGGCCGUCGGGGAAAUACACUGCAACCACUAGAGAUCCGAGGAAAAUAUGCAACUAUUUUUAUAGAUUCGUUAAAACAAUUAAAUUUCUAUUAAAAUAGGUGUGUAAUGAAUAAUAAAAGGCAACAAUUACAAAUAAAUCUAUAUAAGUAUGACAAGAAGCAAUAAUUCAGGGUGUAUUUUAAUAUGACAAGAAGAAAUAAUUCGGGGUAUAUUUUAUGUUUAAAAUUAAUUUUUAAUUUUAAGCAAUGAACUGUAAAUUGUGAACUUUAAUUAGUAGUUGGCAAAUUUUAAAUAAAGUCACAAAUAACUAUUUUGAGCCCAAAUAAAAAUAGAGACUUUCUAUAGAAAUUCAAAGAAAAUUAAAUUUAAGAAGCGUAAUAGACAGAAAAAAUAAAACAGAGAAGGAAAAAUACAAUAUUCACAUCCUUCUUAAGACUUUAUUCAUAACAAUAUAAAUGGAAAAAGAAAUAUAGAAUCGGUACAUGGUUGAUUGAGCUCUUGUCGGCACUAUCUCACAUAAUCAAUCAAAUUUCAAGAGUCUUCUUCAACGAGUCAAACUAAAACAAGAAUCAAGUAGUACAAUAAAAAAAAUGUCUUUCGCUACUAUAACUAUUGAAUGAAAAAGUUAAUUUUGUGGGGAAGGAGUCUCAUGAAAUAAAAAAGAUGAAUUUAUAUAGAUAAAGUUUUGAAUUAAAUAUUUAUAUCAAUACUAAUACCACCAAAUCAACCAAGUCUUUUACAUCCCAAUCAGAAUUAUAAAUAUGGUGGCAAAAUUCCUCUAAUUAGCCAAAGACUUGGCAAGUCAACCAAGUCUUUCUUUAUUUUUUGUGUGCUUAAUUCUUUGUAAAUAGUCUUGCUUUCAUAUUCUCUAGAGUUGUGCGGUGAAAAGUAAUGUCAGUUUACUAACUUAUACUAUAAUGUCUUCUUAAUAUUAAUCAAGUUUAAUCCAUUUGGCACUACUGGAUUUAUCCCAGGCAAUGAGAGCCUUUCAAGAUAGUCAAGUUUUGUCUAGUGAAUUACCUUAUAUAAUGAUGAAUAAUUCCAUUCACUAUCAUCACUCACUUAAUUAUACUAUUAUUUUUCUAGGUAAAGGCAACUCUCUAGAUCUUAUGCUAUGAACACAUCUCUGGCCAAAUAGUGAACAUGAACAAAACUUGCUAUAUGGUGGCUCCAAACAUGUCACGGUCCGAACAGGGGCCCUCACCGUGACAAGCAUUCCGAAUCAUGAAGGCCCAAAACACCCCUAUCUAUCUGGUAAUCAUGCACAUAAUUCAUGCGAUAAAAUGAAAUGCGGAAGAUACACAAUAUCACAGAAACAUGGUCAUGAAAUCUAAUGAAAUCAAUAAGGGGAAAUAACGUCCCACAACAUCUAUCGACAUCCGAAAACCGUUUGCGAAAUCUCUACUAAUGACUAAAACAAACAACUAUCUGAAAACAGGGACAAGGUCCCCAGUAGACCCAAAACUAUUAAAUGAUAAAUAAACUGCCAGACAUCAGGCCUUCAAGAAUAUAGAAGGCUCACCACUCGACUCUGCAAAUCUGUCUGAAGAAUCUACUAAUUAUCUGAACUGCAAGACUGUGCCUCCGAACCUGGGAGGGAAGGUGUAAUGCCCUGCAAUUCGGACUACAAUAUAGACCAUGAUUUCGAUGCGUUGUUAAUUCUGAAGCCAUAAAAUUCUAUGCCAAUACGGCAUGUUAAUUAUCGUGUAGCAUAUGAAAUCCACUCAAGCUUCAAUUUAGAUCAUAGAGGUCCUACAAUUCAAGGACGAGUCAAAACUAUUUUGAUCGACUAAGUUUUAGUGGACGUUGUAAAGUGUGUCAUCUUCCUUCAACCAUAACUCUCUGUAUAUGUCGAAUUAGGAAACCUACUAUGUGUCAAAUGAUAGGUAUUCGAGUUAGCUUUCCAACGACACCUAUUUGGCUAAAAUCCGACACCUGAGCAAGAAGUUAUAACCUUUUAAAGUGAUAAGCGAUGCCUAACCAAUCGCCCAUGGCCACUGGAAAGCAUAGACGAUAGCCUAGGCGGCACCUAUGUGAUAUCAGGCGAUAGCCUAGGCGGCACCUAUGUGAACAUAGGCGAUAGCCUAGGCGACGCCUAUGUGAAAAUAGGCAAUGAGAUGGGCGGCGCCUAUGUAAGGAAUUCUAAUGAUUUAAACACUCCGUGUUGAGGAUAAAGUGGUCCUUUUCCACCCUUACUUAGCCCUAAAACACGAGAUUUAGUUCCAAGGAUCCCAAAAUACAUAUUCUUUCAUCAAAAGUGCUUAAGAUUCUCCUUAGGGUUUUAAAAAUAAAAACCCAAAUAGUUCAAGAUUUGACCUUAGGUUUUCAAAGAUAACUACAUAUUCGGAAUCACCAAUCUGCAAUCUUCACGAAGCAUUUAUUAUCCUUGGAAAUAGAGGUACAUGGGGUUAUCCAAAAAUAUCAUGGGUGUAGUUUUAUGAACAUGCAUGCUUUUAAAUGGGGUUUUCAAUCAAAUGCUAAUAUCUUGCUUUCAAUAUGAUUUCUAAGUCAUUUUCUUUAUGUUAUGGGAAUUGUUUGCCUAUAUACUUCAAUGGUUGAAAUCAUGCACAUGUGAUUUGAGAUUUUCCAUGGAAGUUGAUAAAUAUGAAUGAUAAAUUAUUUUAAAAUUCCCAUGAUAAUGUUUCGAUACUCCAUAUUAUAUUGUGAUCAACAAAAGAGAGCAUGAAUUUGAAAUAAAUAUUGUUCACCACUCGUAAAUGAUGAAGCACCUUGGUUUUUACAUGGUUAUGCAUAUGUGGAUGUGACAUUGGUGACUUGCAAAUAGGGUAUGAUGAUACCCUUCAAAAUACAAUAUGUGAUUGAAAAAAAAUUUAAAUUUGAAUGCAUUGAUUUUACAUGAGAAAAGUGGAUGCCCGAAGAAGGUGAUUGAGACACAAGGGCUCAUCGCUAGAAUAACGUGUUUGCCGACACGAAAUAUUGGUACCAGGCUAAGCGAUCUAUGUACUUGACUUCAUGUUGGGACUAUAGGUAGGAGCCUGAGCCAAGUGAUCUUGGGCACUAUCAUAGGGUUGAGACACCAUGCUGUGUCGUCUUGAGUGUCUCUCCCUAACUUAUACUCUAAUCUCGGCGGCAAUCGAGGUUUGACAGUUGGUGUAAAUUAUGUAGGGUAUUCCACCUAGCUCAGUUGCAUUUCAUUACUGUUGAGAAAAAUUAUUGUAUUACACCCAUGUAUUUUCAAAUUAUACGAAAUUGCUUUAUAAUGGCUCUCAUCUAUGUUUUGUAAAAAUAUUAUGUUUUGCUUUGAUAUCUCUGCGUGCCAGGACUUUUAUGCUGACCCCCUCCCCUCUCCAACCUCUUAGGUUCAUAGGCCCAGUCUAGGGGUCAAGAGAACCAGUAGAUCUUUCAGACAGAGUUGCAGAGACAAGUGGUGAGCCUUCUAUGUUUUUGAAGGUCUUAUGUCCUGUAGUCCUUUUAUCUUAUAUUAGUUUUGGGUCUGCUGGGGGCCUUAUCCCAGUUUUUAGAUAGUUAUUUGUUUCAGUCAUAUAGUAGAGAUUUCGUAGACGAUUUUCGAGAUGUUGAUUUAGAUUGUGGGAUAUUAUUCCCCAUUAUUGUUUUCAUAUGAUUCUUGACCAUGUUUUCGUUAUAUUGUGUUUCUUCCACAUUACUUUGAUCAUAUAAAUUAGGUGCAUGAUUACCAGACAGAUAGGGGUGUUUUGGGCCUCCAUGGUUCGAAAUGCUCGUCAUGUCCAGGCCCUAGUUUGGGUCGUGAUAAACUUGGUAUCAAAGCACGGUUCAUGGUCCCAGGGUGUCUGCAAAAUCAUGUCGAGUAGAGUCUUAUUUAUGGGUGUAUAGCGCACCACACUUAUAAGCAGGAGGCUGCUAGGUGUUUAGGAAAUAUUUUCCUUCUUUGUGAUUUAGUUCAUGCUUCAGAGUCUGAACUGUCCCCUAAUCAAUGAUCACUUGUGUUUCAGAAACACAGUUAUGCCUCCGUGUCGUAUCGUCGAUCAGAAUGCUCAGGCGGAUGAGGUUCGUCCCACCUAUGGGAUGCAAACCCAUAAUAGGGCUCACACUCUAGAAUUUAUCCCUACUCCGGGGUUCCCUCUAGUCCCAACUAGUCCACCUCGGGCUCCGCGGACUAAUGUCAACCAUCCCUCAACUGCGCUAGGAGAUAUUUCAAAUGUAGAAUUCAAAUGGUUUAUUCAUGUGCUAACACAGUUGGUAGCCAACCAAGCUCAACGAUCGUAUGAUGUUGGGUCUGCAUCUAUUACAUCUGAGGCUACUAGAGUCGGACAUUUUAUGAAGAUGAACCCACCUAAGUUCACUGGCACCAAGCUGGAGGAAGAUCCACAGGAGUUCGUGGAUGAGAUGGAAAAGAUCUUCAAGGUGAUGCAUAUGGAUGAGGUUGAAGGGGUGGAGUUAGCAACCUAUCAGCUCAAAGACGUUGCGAGUCAGUGGUAUGUCGAAUAGGAAGAUGAAAAAGGUGAAAGUGCUGAGUCCGCAGUUUGGGGUGAAUUUUUGGAAGCCUUCCUUGAUCGAUUCUUUCCUCUGGAGUUGAGGGAGGCCAAAGUGGAAGAGUUUAUGAAUCUGAAGCAGGGCAGUAUGAGUGUCCAGGAGUACACUUUGAAGUUUAAUAAACUGGCCUUCUAUGCACCAGAGUUGACUAGUAAUAUGAGGGCCCGAUUGAGGAAAUUUGCAUCUGGCCUUGCUGAUAACCUGGUACUUGAGUGCCAGGGGGAUAUGUUGAAUAAGGAGUUAGACUUUGAUUGACUGACCGCUCAUAUACAUUAAGUGGAAGAGAAGAAGAAAAAGAUUGUUGAAUUUAGAGAGAAAGAUAGACAGGCUAAGAGAGCUAGAUCUGCGGACCAGCACCAGAGUCAGCCGCAGAGUGGUAAAUAGGGUAUUAAGUGGUCGAAGAAGAAGAAGUUUUGGAAUAAUGCACUGUCAGCAGCCAGCGCCCCAACAACCAGACCACCGACAGACAGACAAACUCAGAGUUUUCAGACUCCUCAUGGGUCCAAAGCUCUAGGUACACAUUCUUAAGGCAGUGUGGCCCAGCAACGUUAUACUCGUUUGCAGUGUGAGGUUUGCGGAAGGAAUCAUCUAAGAAAGUGCUGGUUUGAGGGGAAAAACUACUAUACUUGUGGCUAAGUGGGUCACCUUCAAAGAGAUUGUCCAUUUGCUGGAGUAAAUGCGGGGGGAGGGGGGCUAAGUCCCAAGUCGCCUCCACAGCCCCUUUCCCUAAGGGUGCCCCUUCAGCUACCGGAAGUGGUCUUCUUUGACUAACCGCUAGGAGGCGGAAGCUUCACCAGAUGUUGUCACUGGUAUGUUACAAAUGUUUUCUUGUGAUGUUUAUGUUUUUCUUGAUCCCGGGUCUACUUUAUCUUAUGUGACCCUUUAUGUGGCUGUUGGUUUCGGGUUUGAGCCCGAAGUUAUUGUAGAAACCUUUUCUGUUUCUACUCCAAUAGGUGAUUUUGUUGUUGCUAGAAGGGUAUAUAGAAAUUGUGUCAUGUCUACUCAUAUUAGGAAAACUGUGGCAGACCUUAUAGAACUUGAUAUGAUAGAUUUUGAUGCCAUCCUUGGGAUGGACUGGCUCUAUUCAUGUUAUGCCACCCUUGAUUGCAGAACCCAAAAGGUCACUUUUUCUUUCCCGAAUGAGACACCAGUUGUUUGGGUUGGGAGUUCUGUGGAACCUAAAGGUCAUUUUAUCUCUUAUCUUAGAGCCUAAAAACUUAUCUCAAAAGGUUGUAUGUAUUAUCUAAUCCGAGUAAAGAUUCAAAAGUUGGAAACCUUCCUCUGCAGUCAGUCCCUGUAGUGAAUGAAUUCCUAGAAGUCUUUUCCGAAGAUCUCCCAGGGAUACCCCCUGAUAGGGAGAUAAAUUUUGGCAUUGAUGUGUUGCCAGACACUCGUUCUAUUUCUAUUCCGCCAUGUAGAAUGGCUCCCGCAGAACUAAAGGAGUUAAAGGAACAGCUUGCAGACCUCCUAGACAAAGGUUUUAUUUGUCCUAGUGUUUCCCCAUGGGGUGCACCCAUGCUCUUCGUGCAAAAGAAGGCUGGGUCCCUUCGGAUGUGCAUAGAUUACCGUCAGCUGAAUAAGGUCACCAUUAAAAAUAAAUAUCCUCUUCCUAGGAUUGAAGACCUUUUUGACCAGCUUCAGGGUGCCAAGUGUUUUUCCAAAAUAGACCUUUGUUUGGGUUAUCAUCGGUUAAAAGUUAGGGAGUCAGACAUACCCAAGAUAGCCUUCCGAACCCGAUAUGGUCACUACGAAUUUCUAGUCAUGUCCUUCGGGUUGACUAACGUCCCUGCAGCCUUCAUGGAUCUUAUGAAUAGAGUGUUUCAUCAGUUUCUUGACUCGUUCGUCAUUGUAUUUAUUGAUGAUAUUCUAAUCUAUUCUAAGAAUAAAGAGGAUCACGCCAAUCACCUCUGAAUUAUCCUUCAGACCCAUAAGGAUCAUCAACUGUAUGCCCAAUUUUCUAAGUGUGAAUUCUGGUUAGAUGCUAUUGCCUUCCUGGGGAGUAUUGUGUCCAGUGAGGGGAUAAGAGUGGAUCCCCAGAAAGUUGAAGCAGUGAGAAAAUGGCCCAGACCCACGACUCCAACCGAUAUUCAGAGCUUCUUGGGUUUGGCGGGGUUUUACAGAAGGUUCGUAGAGAGUUUUUCUUUCAUAGCUUCUCCGCUUACUAAACCGACUUAGAAAAAGAUGAAUUUUGUGUGUUCUGACUUGUGUGAAAAUAGUUUUGAGAAAUUGAAGGACAAGAUGGCUACUGCUUCUGUUUUGACCCUUCCCGAGGGUGUAGAUAUUUUAUGGUUUAUUGUGAUGCGUCCCAUGUGGGACUUGGUUGUGUAUUGAUGCAGCGUGGUAAGGUGAUAGCUUAAGCAUCUAGGCAGCUAAAGGUGCAUGAGCACAAUUACCCCACUCAUGACUUGGAGUUAGCAGCCGUGGUGUUUUCACUUAGAAUUUGGAGGCACUAUCUCUAUGGAGUACAUGUUGAUAUUUAUACUAACCAUAAGAGUUUACAGUAUGUUUUCUCACAGAAAGAAUUAACCCUCAAGCAUAGGCGUUGGAUGGAACUUUUGAAAGUCUAUGAUAUGAGUCUGCAUUACCCUCCGGGUAAGGCAAAUGUUGUAGCCGACGCCCUCAGCAGAUUGUCUAUGGGCAGCCUUUCUCAUGUAGAAGAAAGAAAGAAAGAUAUGGUGAAGGAUAUUCACUGCCUUGUAAAUCUGGGAGUACAACUCUUAGAUUCCGAAGAUGGAGGGGUGAUUGUUCAUGAGUUAGCUAAGUCAUCUCUUUGUGCUGAAGAUAAGAAGAAGCAGGUUGAAGAUCCCAUCUUGAUGCAAAUAAAGAAAGAUGUGGGUCAACAAAAGGUUAUGUCAUUUGAAAUUGGUUGCGGUGGUAUUAUGAGAUUUCAGGGUAGGUUGUGCAUUCCAAAUAAGGCACACACUUUGAGGUAUGUCGUUCACCCAGGAUCUAAUAAGAUGUACCAUGAUCUGAAAACCUUGUAUUGGUGGAAUAACAUAAAACAUGAUGUAGCUGAUUUGUGUCCAAGUGUUUGAAUUGUCAGCAAGUGAAGGUGGAACACAUGAGGCCGAGUGGUACUUGCCAAGAGAUAGCCCUGCCUUUAUGGAAGUGGAGAUGAUAAAUAUGGACUUCAUUACAGGACUUUCGAGAUCCCGAAACCAGUAUGAUUCUAUAUGGUUGAUUGUAGAACGGUUGACCAAGUCAGCACACUUUUUGCCUGUGAGUACUAGUUAUUCGAGAGAGGUUUAUGCUAAGAUUUACAUUGAGGAGAUAGUUCGAUUGCAUGGGGCACCAGUGUCCAUUAUAUCCGAUAGAGGUACGCAGUUUUCAUCUUAGUUUUGGAGAUCUUUUCAGAAGGGUUUAGGUACACAAGUGAAUUUGAGCACAACUUUCCACCCUCAGACGGAUAGGCAAGAUGAGCGUACCAUUCAGACCCUCGAAUAUAUGUUGAGGAAAUGCGUCUUUGAUUUCAAAGGUAGUUAGGUAGAUCACCUUACACUGGUUGAAUUUGCUUACAAUAAUAGUUACCAUCCUAGCAUCAAGAUGGACCCUUUUGAGGCUUUGUAUGGGAGGAGAUGUAGGUCUCUAAUAGGAUGGUAUGAAGUGGGUGAGACUCAGUUUUAUGGAACUGAUCUUGCUCAUCAGGCGAUGGAGAAAGUCAAGAUCAUUAGAGAACGACUUAAGACUGCUCAGAGUCAUCAGAAGUCCUAUGUCGAUGUUUGGAGAAGAGAACUAGAGUUUGAAAUUGGUGAUUUGGUGUUUCUCAAGGUUUCUCCUAUGAAAGGAGUUAUGAGGUUUAGAAAAAGGGGUAAAUUGAGCCCUUGUUAUAUAGGACCAUAUCAGAUUUUGAAAAGGAUUGGUACAUUUGCGUAUGAGUUUGAAUUGCCUACAAGUUUGGGUUCCAUUCAUCCGGUAUUCCAUGUAUCCAUGUUGAAGAAAUGCAUUGGAGAUCAUUCUAUGGUAUUGCCAGUAAAGGGUAUCAAAGUGAUAGAUUUCUUGUCUUAUGAAGAAGAGCCCGUUGAAACUUUAGAUCGCCAAGUUCGAAAGCUGAAGAGCAAAGAGAUAGCCUCAGUAAAGGUACUAUAGAGGAAUCAGAAAGUCGAAGAAGCAGCUUGGGAGUCCGAAGAUGACAUGAGAAUUAGAUAUCCCAAUUUGUUUGCUUCGAUGGAGGACAAGACAGAAGGUACUAUUCUUAUCUUAUCUUUCCUAGUCCUUUAUUAUUCUUAAAAUCGUGUCUGUCUGUGUCCCGCAUCAUCAUUCGGGGAUGAAUGAUCCUAAGGAGGGGAUAAUGUAACGCCCCGCAAUUCGGACUACAAUAUAGACCAUGAUUUUGAUGCGUUGUUAAUUCCGAAGCCAUAAAAUCCUACGCCAAUAUGGCAUGUUAAUUAUCGUGUAGCAUGUGAAAUUCACUCAAGCUUGAAUUUAGACCAUACAGGUCCUACAACUCAAGGACGAGUCGAAACUAUUUUGAUCGACUAAGUUUUAGUGGACGUUGUAAAGUGUGUCAUCUUCCUUCAACCAUAACUCUCUGUAUAUGUCGAAUUAGGAAACCUACUAUGUGUCAAAUGAUAGGUAUUCGAGUUAGCUUUCCAACGACACCUAUUUGGCUAAAAUCCGACACCCGAGCAAGAAGUGACCUUUCAAAGUGAUAAGCGACGCCUAACCAAUCACCCAUGGCCACUGGAAAGCAUAGGCGAUAGCCUAGACGGCGCCUAUGUGAACAUAGGCAAUAGCCUAGGUGGAGCCUAUGUAAACAUAGGCUAUAUCCUAGGCGGUGCCUAUAUAAACAUAGGCGAUAACCUAGGCGGCGCCUAUAUGAACAUAGGCAAUGAGAUGGGCGGCGCCUAUGUAAGGAAUUCUAGUGAUUUAAACACUCCGUGUUGAGGACAAAGUGGUCCUUUUCCUCCCUUACUUAGCCCUAAAACAGGAGAUUUAGUUCCAUGGACCCCAAAAUACAUAUUCUUUCAUCAAAAGUGCUCAAGAUUCUCCUUAGGAUUACAAAAAUAAAAACCCAAAUAGUUCAAGAUUUGACCGUAGGUUUUCAAAGAUAAUUACAUAUUCGGAAUCACCAAUCCGCAAUCUUCAAGAAAAAUCUAUUAUCCUUGGAAAUAGAGGUACAUGGGGUUAUCCAAAAAUCUCAUGGGUGUAGUUUUAUGAACAUUCAUGCUUUUAAAUGGGGGUUUUCAAUCAAAUGCUAAUAUCUUGCUUUCAAUAUGAUUUCUAAGUCAUUUUCUUUAUGUCAUGGAAAUUGUUUGCCUAUAUACUUCAAUAGUUGAAACCAUGCAUAUGUGAUUUGAGAUUUUCCAUGGAAGUUGAUAAAUAUGAAUCAUAAAUUAUUUUCAAAUUCCCAGGAUAAUGUUUCAAUACUCCAUAUUAUAUUGUGAUCAACAAAAGAGAACAUGAAUUUGAAAUAAAUAUUGUUCACCACUUGUAAAUGAUGAAGCACCUUAUUUUUUACAUGAUUAUGCAUAUGUGGAUGUGACAUUGAUGACUUACAAGUCGGGUAUGACGAUACCCUUUAAAAUACAAUAUGUGAUUGAAACAAAAAUGAAAUUUGAAUGCGUUGAUUUUACAUGAGAAAGGUGGAUUCCCGAAGAAGGCGUUUGAGACACAAGGGCUCAUCGCUGGAAUAACGUGUUUACUGACACGGAAUAUUGGUACCAGGCUAAGCGAUCUGUGUACUUGAUGAGCCAAGUGAUCUUGGGCACUAUCAUUGGGUCGAGACACCAUGUUGUGUGGUCUUGAGUGUCUCUCCCUCACUUAUACUCUAAUCUCGAUGGAAACCGUGGUUUGACAGUUGGUGUAAAUUACAUAGGAUAUUCCACCUAGCUCAGUUGCAUUUCAUUACUGUUGAUAAAAACUAUUGCAUUACACCCAUGUGUUUUCAAAUGAUUUGAUACGAAAUUGCUUUAUACUGGCUCUCAACUAUGUUUUGUAAAAAUAUUAUGUUUUGCUUUAAUAUCUCUGCGUUCCAGUACUUUUGUGCUGACCCCCUCCCCUCUCUAACCUCUCAGGUUCAGAGGCCCAAUCUAGGGUUCAAGAGAACCAGUAGAUCUUUCAGACAGAGUUGCAGAGACAAGUGGCGAGCCUUCUAUGUUUCGGAAGGUCUUAUGUCCUGC